rnacentral:lncRNA from 1 species
GAUCCUUCUUCCCUCUCUCCCCAAGACAUAUUUGCAGAAAACCAUAGAAAAUAAGAGUAUAUAAGCUCAGUAAAAGGAAAGUAGAAAGCUGUGAUUAACAAAUUGAAAAGAACAACGGAAGAAGAUCGAAGAACACAAACCUGAUUCUUAAUCUGGGAAUCGAAGGAGGAUGGAGCCUUCGAAAGAGGAUGGAUUCUUCGAAGAAGAGUGAGGGGCCGAGGAAGGCUGAGAUGAGGGUGAUGUUGUCGACUUAGGGGCUUGGUGGGAGGAGAUCAGUGGUCGAGGGCUCGAGGAGGUGAGGGUGGAGGAGAGGAGCAGAAGUAGAUCGGGGAAGAAUGGGAGAAAUUGUGUUCGGGGAAGAAUAGGUCGAGCUGGAGAGUAAGUAAAGAGGAUAAGGCACCGCUAAAAUUUUGAUGGAAAUUUCAAAAAUUUCAUUUCAAAUUGCUCCAAAAUUUGAGCGGAAAGAAUACCCUAAAUUGUAAACCCUAAACCCUAAACCCUAAACCCUAGUCCUGUUGUGGUUCCAAUGUCUAAAAUUCAAAAUAUUAAAUUUCGACCGUCCGAUAUGAUCAGCGUAUUUAAAUACGGAUAUGGUUAAAAAUUCACCUAAUUUUGAUAAAGUUUGGGUCUCGAUCCAUGCAGUCAACAUUAACUCAACUUCAUCUAAUUAAGCGAAUACGCUAUUAUCCCCUACUUAUUUACUAGUUUUGGUCGAUUCUUUCAUGCACACACUCUAACAUAUAUGUUCUAUAGCAGCUUGUGUAGAAUUUUCAUAAAUUUUACCUUUCAGGGAUAGAGUUACCCAUAGAAGAGGAUAAGCGUAAAAGGGUUGAUCGCUUCGAUCGGGACACAAACGUUAUAAAAAAUAUGUGAUUUUUUUACCAUAACCAUAUUUCACUAUACGUAACACAUCCUGUGGACGGAUUUGCAAAAUUCUAUUUACAAGAUAUAGUUGCUUCACAAAUGCACACACUUGCAAAAAUGCCACUAAACAAGUUAUACCACAUUAGUAGGCAUGUUGUGGUUCUAAUGUCUAAAAUUUAAAAUAUUAAAUUUCGACCGUCAGAUGUGAUUAGCAAAUUUAAAUACGGAUAUGGUAAAAAAUUCACCUAAUUUUCAUAAAGUUUGGGUCUCGAUCGAUGUGGUCAACAUUAACUCAACAUCAUCUAAUUAAGCGAAUACGCUCUUACCUCCUCCUUCUUUACUAAUUUUGGUGGAUUCUUUCAGGCACACACUCUCACAUAUAUGUGAUGUAGUAGCUCCUGUAAAAUUUUCAGAAAUUUUACCUUCUGGGGAUAGGGCUACCCAUAGGGGAUAAUAAGCGUAAAAAGAGGUGACCACCUCGAUCGGGACACAAACGUUAUCGAAAAUAUGUGAUUUUUUUACCACAACCAUAUUUCACUAUACGUAACGCAUCUUGCGGAGGGAUUUGUAAAAUUAUAUUUACAAGAUAUAGUUGCUUCACAAAUGCACACACGCAAAAAUGCCACUAAACAAGUUAUACCACAUUAGUAGGCAUGUUGUGGUUCCAAGGUUUAAAAUUCAAAAUAUUAAAUUUCGACCGUUGGAUGUGAUCAACGUAUUUAAAUACAUAUAUGGUCAAAAAUUCACCUAAUUUUGAUAAAGUUUGGGUCUCGAUCGAUGUGGUCAACAUUAACUCAACUUCAUCUAAUUAAGCGAAUACGCUCUUACCCCCUCCUUCUUGAGUAGUUUUGGUGGAUUCUUUCAUGCA